rnacentral:tRNA from 1 species
GUCGUCGUGGUGUAGUUGGUUAUCACAUUCGCCUCACAUCUGCCGCGUGUGCGUCCGCGAAAGGUCUCCAGUUCGAUCCUGGACGACGACA